AAAACCACCACAAACCAUGAUCGGGCUGACUCACACGCGACUGGAGAAUAAACAAACAGCAACAUAAGGAAAUAACUCGAGGGUUGUUUUUAAUGAUUCCCAUGUGGGGAAGUCCGCCAGUAUUGGGAGGGCUGGGUGCCCUUGGAGGAAAUGGGUUUUGUUACAUAAAGCUGGGUCCUUGUGGAAGCAACAGCACGUUGGGAAAGUUGGGGGGUCCCAAGUUUUCAGGACUCCUGGUGACCUUGGAAAUGCGGUCCAGACCAGUUGAUUGGUGUCUCAUCCAGCUGCAGGUGAGUGCUCACUGCCC
rnacentral:lncRNA from 1 species